UAAGCACGGGUAAGCUAUAAUGGUGAUUGUGGAAGUCAAAUUUCUGUCCAAUUGUGGGAAAUAGACAGAAAUCGCUGUGCAUUUACUCUUCUAACUAUUUCUACUAUUUUGCUAGUGUUUUCGUUCCCUUUGUAGUGGUAAUCUCUUCCCGACGGCCAGUGUAAACAAAAUUGAUCAGCACUUCUGACCCUUAACGGUGAGAAAUCUGGCCUGAAAUCUGGUAAAUAAUGUUAAUAAUUGAAAAAUAAUUGAAAACAAAGGACUGCUAGUUGAAUAUGAUUCGAUCAUUAGCCUUACCGAACUCCUUGUUUUACAGAAGUCGAAAGUAAGAGGCAAAGGUUGCAGCAGGAGAAUUUACCUUCAUUGUUCUUCGUUCAGUAUAUAAAUAUGCCUAAACGCAAAUCUAAAAACGUUGUGGUUGAAGACAAUCGUUGUACUAUCAAGGCUAUGAACCACAUAGAAGUUUUGCACAGAUGGCAACCACCUGCGCGGGUGAUAGAUAAGAUACGUCAUACUUGCCUUUAUAAAUGUGCCAAUUUACUUAUUGGGGACCGAAGUAUGUUACCUGUUAGAGCAGACAAUUCUUUAACUACGUUUCUCAUCAAAAAUUAUGAUGAGGAAGAAUCUUGUUUUAAGAUAUGUAAUAGUAAGUUUUUUUUUGGAUUAGAAGAUAUUUAUUUUAU